CAGCCGCCGCGGUAAAACGAAGGGUGCAAGCGUUACUCGGAAUUACCGGGCGUAAAGCGUGCGUAGGUGGUGGUUUAAGUCCGUUGUGAAAGCCCUGGGCUCAACCUGGGAAUUGCAGUGGAUACUGGGUCACUAGAGUGUGGUAGAGGAUAGUGGAAUUUCCGGUGUAGCAGUGAAAUGCGUAGAGAUCGGAAGGAACAUCUGUGGCGAAGGCGACUAUCUGGGCCAACACUGACACUGAGGCACGAAAGCGUGGGGAGCAAACAGGAUUAGAGACCCGGGUAGUCCCUGUCUCUUAUAA
rnacentral:rRNA from 1 species